rfam:Habropoda laboriosa contig5014, whole genome shotgun sequence.
CAAAUGGCCCUUUUCAGGGCCACCAAAUCUUUCAUACAAGGAACUAU